AAUACGUAGGGGGCUAGCGUUGUCCGGGAUCAUUGGGCGUAAAGCGCGUGUAGGCGGUCCGGUAAGUCCGCUGUGGAAGUCGGCGGCUCAGCCCUCGAAAGCCGGUGGAUACUGUCGGGCUAGAGUGCGGAAGAGGCGAGUGGAAUUCCUGGUGUAGCGGUGAAAUGCGCAGAUAUCGGGAGGAACACCAAUUGCGAAGGCAGCUCGCUGGGACGUAACUGACGCUGAGACGCGAAAGCGUGGGGAGCAAACAGG
rnacentral:rRNA from 1 species